UGUGCCAGCAGCCGCGGUAAUACGUAUGUCACAAGCGUUAUCCGGAUUUAUUGGGCGUAAAGCGCGUCUAGGUGGUUAUGUAAGUCUGAUGUGAAAAUGCAGGGCUCAACUCUGUAUUGCGUUGGAAACUGUGUAACUAGAGUACUGGAGAGGUAAGCGGAACUACAAGUGUAGAGGUGAAAUUCGUAGAUAUUUGUAGGAUGCCGAUGGGGAAGCCAGCUUACUGGACAGAUACUGACGCUAAAGCGCGAAAGCGUGGGUAGCAAACAGGAUUAGAUA
rnacentral:rRNA from 1 species